rnacentral:rRNA from 1 species
AGUGAACGCUGGCGGUAGGCCUAACACAUGCAAGUCGAACGGCAGCACAGGAGAGCUUGCUCUCUGGGUGGCGAGUGGCGGACGGGUGAGGAAUACAUCGGAAUCUACUCUGUCGUGGGGGAUAACGUCGGGAAACUUACGCUAAUACCGCAUACGACCUACGGGUGAAAGCAGGGGACCUUCGGGCCUUGCGCGAUUGAAUGAGCCGAUGUCGGAUUAGCUAGUUGGCGGGGUAACGGCCCCCCAAGGCGACGCUCCGUAGCUGGUCUGAGAGGAUGAUCAGCAACACUGGAACUGAGACACGGUCCAGACUCCUACGGGAGGCAGCAGUGGGGAAUAUUGGACAAUGGGCGCAAGCCUGAUCCAGCCAUACCGCGUGGGUGAAGAAGGCCUUCGGGUUGUAAAGCCCUUUUGUUGGGAAAGAAAUCCAGCUGGCUAAUACCCGGUUGGGAUGACGGUACCCAAAGAAUAAGCACCGGCUAACUUCGUGCCAGCCGCCGCGGUAA